rnacentral:ribozyme from 1 species
CAGAACAUCCUGCUUGCCAACAAACACUGCGAAAGGAAAUUCAAGAUGCAACUGACUUGGACCAUAAUAGUUUAAAAAAGCUUCCAUACUUGCAUGCUGUUAUUCAGGAAACUUUGCGAUUAUUUCCUCCUUUUUCUUCUUCUUUGGUGCGAUAUUCUGAAAAAGAUGAAA